UUAAGAACCGGGUUGCACAGCAGGAAGUGAGCAGCAGCUGAGGGAGCAUUAUGACCUGAGUUCCGCUUCCUGUCAGAUCAGCGGCAUUAGAUUCUCAUAGGAGGGCAAACACUAUUGUGAACUGUGCAUGUGAGGGAUCUAGGUUCGCGCUCUUUGUGAGAAUCCAACAGAAACCAUCACCCACUGUGACCCUGGAAAAAUUGUCUUCCACGAAACUCGUCCCUGGUGCCAAAAUGUUGGGGACCGCUGUUGUAGGUCAUAGCUUGCCUGUAGUAUUUUCCUACUGAAUACAAUAUUAUGUAAAUAUUGUCUUACAAAUGCAGGAAGAAGACUGUAAUCUAUUUCUUCCACCUGCUACAACUGUCUCAGAAUUUCUCCAAGUCCAGAAUUUAAGAAGAAAUUUCACCAAAGUGCCUGGCAGCUGUGAAUCUAGAAGUUUGGCACUGUCAAGAAAUGCAUCUGCAGUUCUCAAGAAUUGCAUCAAUCCCACAAGAAUGACACCAAGCAAUUCAUGAAGGAUCUGCCUCCUAUGACCAAAACAGCCCCUACCUGGCCCAUCCUCCAACAUAGGGGAUUAUAUUUCAUUACAUUACUUUCCAACAUGUGGUUUGGAAGGGACAAAUAUUCAAACUAUAUUAAGUAACAAACAGAAAAUAAUGAUGGUGAUAUGUAUAGUACAAAAAAAUCACUGAGUUAUAACUACAUUACUGAUGUAUGUAAUGUGCUGAGUAGCAAUAAAAGUAAUAAGAGUGCCA
rnacentral:lncRNA from 1 species